CCUACGGGUGGCAGCAGUGGGGGAUAUUGCACAAUGGGGGAAACCCUGAUGCAGCGACGCCGCGUGAGUGAAGAAGUAUUUCGGUUUGUAAACUCCUAUCAGUAGGGAAGAAAAUGACAGUAUCUAACCAAUAAGCACCGGCUAACUCCGUGCCAGCAGCCGCGGUAAUACGGAGGGGGCAAGCGUUAUCCGGAAUCACUGGGUGUAAAGGGCGCGUAGGCGGGUUAGUAAGUCAGGUGUGAAAGCCCAGGGCCUAACCACAGGACUGCAUUUGAAACUGUGAAUCUAGAGUACAGGAGGGGCAGGCGGAAUUCCUGGUGUAGCGGUAAAAUGCGUAGAGAUCAAGAGGAAUACUGACGGCGAAGGCGACCUGCUAGACUAAAACUGACGUUGAUGCGCGAAAGCGUGGGGAGCAAACAGGAUUAGAUACCCCUGUAGUC
rnacentral:rRNA from 1 species